rnacentral:rRNA from 1 species
UACGAAGGGGGCUAGCGUUGUUCGGAAUUACUGGGCGUAAAGCGCACGUAGGCGGACAUUUAAGUCAGGGGUGAAAUCCCAGAGCUCAACUCUGGAACUGCCUUUGAUACUGGGUGUCUAGAGUAUGGAAGAGGUGAGUGGAAUUCUGAGUGUAGAGGUGAAAUUCGUAGAUAUUCGGAGGAACACCAGUGGCGAAGGCGGCUCACUGGUCCAUUACUGACGCUGAGGUGCGAAAGCGUGGGGAGCAAACAGG